rnacentral:sRNA from 1 species
GCAAAAGCUGUCUAGGGUUCCGUUGAUCCUGCAGAAGCUGAGACUCCGAUAGCCGGGUCGAGGCCUCGCGCAUCAAGCUGGUCCGAGAGACGGCGUAUGGGACGGGACGGCGGUCAGCCCAUAUAACACGGAGGGAUAAAAGCCUGGGAGAC